rnacentral:rRNA from 1 species
UACGUAGGGUGCAAGCGUUAAUCGGAAUUACUGGGCGUAAAGCGUGCGCAGGCGGUUAUGCAGGACAGAUGUGAAAUCCCCGGGCUCAACCUGGGAACUGCAUUUGUGACUGCAUGGCUAGAGUACGGUAGAGGGGGAUGGAAUUCCGCGUGUAGCAGUGAAAUGCGUAGAUAUGCGGAGGAACACCGAUGGCGAAGGCAAUCCCCUGGACCUGUACUGACGCUCACGCACGAAAGCGUGGGGAGCAAACAGG